rnacentral:rRNA from 1 species
AUCUGUGUGACUGCGUACCUUUUGUAUAAUGGGUCAGCGACUUAUAUUCUGUAGCAAGGUUAACCGAAUAGGGGAGCCGAAGGGAAACCGAGUCUUAACCGGGCGUUAAGUUGCAGGGUAUAGACCCGAAACCCGGUGAUCUAGCCAUGGGCAGGUUGAAGGUUGGGUAACACUAACUGGAGGACCGAACCGACUAAUGUUGAAAAAUUAGCGGAUGACUUGUGGCUGGGGGUGAAAGGCCAAUCAAACCGGGAGAUAGCUGGUUCUCCCCGAAAGCUAUUUAGGUAGCGCCUCGUGAAUUCAUCUCCGGGGGUAGAGCACUGUUUCGGCAAGGGGGUCAUCCCGACUUACCAACCCGAUGCAAACUGCGAAUACCGGAGAAUGUUAUCACGGGAGACACACGGCGGGUGCUAACGUCCGUCGUGAAGAGGGAAACAACCCAGACCGCCAGCUAAGGUCCCAAAGUCAUGGUUAAGUGGGAAACGAUGUGGGAAGGCCCAGACAGCCAGGAUGUUGGCUUAGAAGCAGCCAUCAUUUAAAGAAAGCGUAAUAGCUCACUGGUCGAGUCGGCCUGCGCGGAAGAUGUAACGGGGCUAAACCAUGCACCGAAGCUGCGGCAGCGACACUGUGUGUUGUUGGGUAGGGGAGCGUUCUGUAAGCCUGUGAAGGUGUGCUGUGAGGCAUGCUGGAGGUAUCAGAAGUGCGAAUGCUGACAUAAGUAACGAUAAAGCGGGUGAAAAGCCCGCUCGCCGGAAGACCAAGGGUUCCUGUCCAACGUUAAUCGGGGCAGGGUGAGUCGACCCCUAAGGCGAGGCCGAAAGGCGUAGUCGAUGGGAAACAGGUUAAUAUUCCUGUACUUGGUGUUACUGCGAAGGGGGGACGGAGAAGGCUAUGUUGGCCGGGCGACGGUUGUCCCGGUUUAAGCGUGUAGGCUGGUUUUCCAGGCAAAUCCGGAAAAUCAAGGCUGAGGCGUGAUGACGAGGCACUACGGUGCUGAAGCAACAAAUGCCCUGCUUCCAGGAAAAGCCUCUAAGCAUCAGGUAACAUCAAAUCGUACCCCAAACCGACACAGGUGGUCAGGUAGAGAAUACCAAGGCGCUUGAGAGAACUCGGGUGAAGGAACUAGGCAAAAUGGUGCCGUAACUUCGGGAGAAGGCACGCUGAUAUGUAGGUGAAGUCCCUCGCGGAUGGAGCUGAAAUCAGUCGAAGAUACCAGCUGGCUGCAACUGUUUAUUAAAAACACAGCACUGUGCAAACACGAAAGUGGACGUAUACGGUGUGACGCCUGCCCGGUGCCGGAAGGUUAAUUGAUGGGGUCAGCGCAAGCGAAGCUCUUGAUCGAAGCCCCGGUAAACGGCGGCCGUAACUAUAACGGUCCUAAGGUAGCGAAAUUCCUUGUCGGGUAAGUUCCGACCUGCACGAAUGGCGUAAUGAUGGCCAGGCUGUCUCCACCCGAGACUCAGUGAAAUUGAACUCGCUGUGAAGAUGCAGUGUACCCGCGGCAAGACGGAAAGACCCCGUGAACCUUUACUAUAGCUUGACACUGAACAUUGAGCCUUGAUGUGUAGGAUAGGUGGGAGGCUUUGAAGUGUGGACGCCAGUCUGCAUGGAGCCGACCUUGAAAUACCACCCUUUAAUGUUUGAUGUUCUAACGUGGACCCGUGAUCCGGGUUGCGGACAGUGUCUGGUGGGUAGUUUGACUGGGGCGGUCUCCUCCUAAAGAGUAACGGAGGAGCACGAAGGUUGGCUAAUCCUGGUCGGACAUCAGGAGGUUAGUGCAAUGGCAUAAGCCAGCUUGACUGCGAGCGUGACGGCGCGAGCAGGUGCGAAAGCAGGUCAUAGUGAUCCGGUGGUUCUGAAUGGAAGGGCCAUCGCUCAACGGAUAAAAGGUACUCCGGGGAUAACAGGCUGAUACCGCCCAAGAGUUCAUAUCGACGGCGGUGUUUGGCACCUCGAUGUCGGCUCAUCACAUCCUGGGGCUGAAGUAGGUCCCAAGGGUAUGGCUGUUCGCCAUUUAAAGUGGUACGCGAGCUGGGUUUAGAACGUCGUGAGACAGUUCGGUCCCUAUCUGCCGUGGGCGCUGGAGAACUGAGGGGGGCUGCUCCUAGUACGAGAGGACCGGAGUGGACGCAUCACUGGUGUUCGGGUUGUCAUGCCAAUGGCACUGCCCGGUAGCUAAAUGCGGAAGAGAUAAGUGCUGAAAGCAUCUAAGCACGAAACUUGCCCCGAGAUGAGUUCUCCCUGACCCUUUAAGGGUCCUGAAGGAACGUUGAAGACGACGACGUUGAUAGGCCGGGUGUGUAAGCGCAGCGAUGCGUUGAGCUAACCGGUACUAAUGAACCGUGAGGCUUAACCUU